rnacentral:tRNA from 1 species
GCUAAUUAAGUGUUUUGCACAUUGACUUUUCACGUCAAAAGAACACUAGGUGUAUUUAGCU